rnacentral:rRNA from 1 species
AGAGCGAACGCUGGCGGCAGGCUUAACACAUGCAAGUCGAGCGGGCGUAGCAAUACGUCAGCGGCAGACGGGUGAGUAACGCGUGGGAACAUACCUUUUGGUUCGGAACAACACAGGGAAACUUGUGCUAAUACCGGAUAAGCCCUUACGGGGAAAGAUUUAUCGCCGAAAGAUUGGCCCGCGUCUGAUUAGCUAGUUGGUGAGGUAAUGGCUCACCAAGGCGACGAUCAGUAGCUGGUCUGAGAGGAUGAUCAGCCACAUUGGGACUGAGACACGGCCCAAACUCCUACGGGAGGCAGCAGUGGGGAAUAUUGGACAAUGGGCGCAAGCCUGAUCCAGCCAUGCCGCGUGAGUGAUGAAGGCCCUAGGGUUGUAAAGCUCUUUGUGCGGGAAGAUAAUGACGGUACCGCAAGAAUAAGCCCCGGCUAACUUCGCGCCAGCAGCCGC